GGGGGUGUAGCUCAGUGGUAGAGUGCUUGCCUAAUAUGCAUGAGUCCCUGGGUUUGAUUCCUAGCACCACCA